UGGGGAAUCUUGGACAAUGGGGGCAACCCUGAUCCAGCCAUGCCGCGUGAGUGAUGAAGGCCUUAGGGUCGUAAAGCUCUUUCGCCUGUGAAGAUAAUGACGGUAGCAGGUAAAGAAACCCCGGCUAACUCCGUGCCAGCAGCCGCGGUAAUACGGAGGGGGUUAGCGUUGUUCGGAAUUACUGGGCGUAAAGCGCACGUAGGCGGACCAGAAAGUUGGGGGUGAAAUCCCGGGGGCUCAACCCCGGAACUGCCUCCAAAACUAUUGGUCUAGAGUUCGAGAGAGGUGAGUGGAAUUCCAAGUGUAGAGGUGAAAUUCGUAGAUAUUCGGAGGAACACCAGUGGCGAAGGCGGUCACCUGGGCCAGUACUGACGCUGAGGCGCGAAAGGCGUGGGGAGCAAACAGGAUUAGAUACCCUGGUAGUCCACGCCGUAAAACGAUGAGCACUCGGUGCCGCGGGUAUCGACCCCUGCGGUGCCUGAGCUAACGCAUUAAGUGCUCCGCCU
rnacentral:rRNA from 1 species